UCGAACUCCUUUCCUCUCUUAUCCGCAACUCUGCAAGCCUCCGAUGCCGACGGAAUUGUGGUCUCCCAAAUCACAUCGUUCCAGCUUGCUUGCUGAAACCUACUAGUUGACGCCAUUUCAACAUUAGUACACUACCAUGUUGCCUCGUUACCAAUUACAAUGAAUCGAUUAGUCUCCUUCUUCAUUGAUUUUUUUUGGGGAAAAUUACUCUCUUUUCUAUAUUUACAAAAGUAAUUGAUUUUGCUUUACUUCUCCCUCGCUGGUGGAAACUAGUGUGGUCUUUAUUUGAUUCAGGUAUUUGUGCUUAGGAGAGUGCUUUCACAAAGACAUGGCGAUUUUG
rnacentral:lncRNA from 1 species